CAAAAAUGGGAAACUCCCGAAGAUGGAUGGGUAAAGAUCAACUCCGACGGCGCGGUCUCGAGGCAAGGUGACAAAGGUGGAGGAGGGGUGGUCCUUCGUGACCACAAUGCGGCGUUCUUAGCCGGGUCAUGCCACUUCUUCCCUAAUGUUACUGACCCGGAGAUGGCAGAAGUUCUGGCGUGCAAGAACGCUGUCCGCUUAGCGUUGGAUCACAAUAUUCGGAGAGCUCAUGUGGAGGUUGAUUGCAUGUCGCUUGUGCAAAAGCUAAAUAACCAGGAGAGGGACCUUUCUGCGGUCGGUCCUUGGGUGCAGGAUAUCAAGUCGAUGCUCAGGUCUAUGGAGGAGGCCAAGGUUACAUGGAUCAGUCGUUCGGGAAAUGUCGCCGCUCAUAAUCUUGCUCGUGUAGGUGUAGGUGAGAACCGUUCAGAGGUGUGGGUGGGUUCACCACCAGAUUUUAUCUUGCAUGUAAUUUCGGAUGACAUUCCUAGUUUUGAAUAA
rnacentral:rRNA from 1 species